GACGAACGCUGGCGGCGUGCUUAACACAUGCAAGUCGAACGGAAAGGCCUGCUUUCCCUUGUGGAUUGCGGGUACUCGAGUGGCGAACGGGUGAGUAACACGUGAGUUAUCUGCCCCCAACUUGGGUAUAAGCCUGGGAAACUGGGUCUAAUUCCCGAUAGGACUGCAGGGUGGUGCCUGUGGUGGAAAACGAUUUUCUAGUGGUUGGGGAUGAGCUCGCGGCCUAUCAGCUUGUUGGUGGGGUAAUGGCCUACCAAGGCGGCGACGGGUAGCCGGCCUGAGGGGGUGGACGGCCACAUUGGGACUGAGAUCCGGCCCAGACUCCUACGGGAGGCAGCAGUGGGGAAUAUUGCACAAUGGGCGGAAGCCUGAUGCAGCGACGCCGCGUGGGGGAUGACGGCCUUCGGGUUGUAAACUCCUUUCGACCGCGAGGAAGCCACCUGGUUGGAAGGGUGGUGACGGUAGUGGUAGAAGAAGCACCGGCUAACUACGUG
rnacentral:rRNA from 1 species